rnacentral:rRNA from 1 species
UGAAAAAAUUAGAGUGUUCAAGGCAGGCUCAGACAGCCUGAAUAAUGGUGCAUGGAAUAAUAGAAUAGGAUCUCGGUUCUAUUUUGUUGGUUUUCGGAACUCGAGAUAAUGAUUAAGAGGGACAGACGGGGGCAUCCGUACUGCGGCGUUAGAGGUGAAAUUCUUGGAUCGCCGCAAGACGAACUACUGCGAAAGCAUUUGCCAAGAAUGUUUUCAUUAAUCAAGAACGAAAGUCAGAGGUUCGAAGACGAUCAGAUACCGUCCUAGUUCUGACCAUAAACGAUGCCGACUAGCGAUCCGCCGGAGUUGUACCUAUGACCCGGCGGGCAGCUUCCGGGAAACCAAAGUCUUUGGGUUCCGGGGGAAGUAUGGUUGCAAAGCUGAAACUUAAAGGAAUUGACGGAAGGGCACCACCAGGAGUGGAGCCUGCGGCUUAAUUUGACUCAACACGGGGAAACUCACCCGGCCCGGACACCGUGAGGAUUGACAGAUUGAGAGCUCUUUCUUGAUUCGGUGGGUGGUGGUGCAUGGCCGUUUUUAUUCAAGGACCGAUUGUGAGGUAUA